UACGUAGGGGGCAAGCGUUGUCCGGAAUCAUUGGGCGUAAAGCGCGUGUAGGCGGCCCGGUAAGUCCGCUGUGAAAGUCGGGGGCUCAACCCUCGAAUGCCGGUGGAUACUGUCGGGCUAGAGUGCGGAAGAGGCGAGUGGAAUUCCUGGUGUAGCGGUGAAAUGCGCAGAUAUCAGGAGGAACACCUAUUGCGAAGGCAGCUCGCUGGGACGUAACUGACGCUGAGACGCGAAAGCGUGGGGAGCAAACAGG
rnacentral:rRNA from 1 species